UGACUGCCACGGGACCUUGGGCUCUUCGUGGUGUUCGGUGUCGUUUUCCCCCAAAUGCACCAUGUGGCCCAUGAGUCCUGGGAGCAGCUUCUCAGGAAAGAAUUCUGUGGUCGGGAGAGCCUGGGAAAAGUUGUCUCACGCUCCGUUGCAGAGACAAAAUGCACGUUAAUAAGUUCAUGGCUCAGGAGACAUCCUGUGAUAAGUAUCUUUGUUUCUCUUUACCAAACCUGGUGCUUCCUGAACUUAUUUGACUUCAGGGAGAAAAAAAGUUAUUAUUAGCAAUUCGCAGACCACCUUUUAACAUCUAUAGAGGACAUCUUUUGUUUUCACCUUCCCCGCAUGCUGCUUUCUUCCAAAGCCACCACCAGAUUUGCAUUGGAAAUGUUUACAGGACUCAGGUGGGGGCCAAGCUUGGAUGUGACUGUGACCCAGGAUGGGCCAAUCAUUAUAGCCCACCUCCUGGCCUCAGUAAUUGGUUGAUAGUGGAACACGUGACCCAAUUCGGGCCAAUGAGACACCUUCCUGAGACUUUUGGUCGGAACUCCUGGCAAAGAGAAGCUGUUUAUCCAUUGAGGGGGCCGCUGGGGGGAUGCAGGCUUGCAACGUUUGCAGGCUUCUGCUUGGAGAGAGCAUGCCGGUGAAUGAAGGCACCACAGAGGAAAGCAGUGUGGACCAAAUAGAAAUAGAAAUAGAAAAGUUGAGUUCUUGGGGCGCCUGGGUGGCUCGAUGGGUUAAGCAUCGGACUUCGGCUCAGGUCAUGAUCUUACCGCUCGUGAGUUUGAGCCCUGCAUUGGGCUCUGUGCUGACAGCUCGGAGCCUGGAGCCUCCUUCGGAUUCGUGUCUCCCUGUCUCUCUCUGCCCCUCCCCCAACUUGCACUCUGUCUCUCUCUCUCUCUCUCAAAAAUAAAUAUGCAUUAAAAAAAAUUAAAAAAUAAAAAGAAAGUUGGGUUCUGAUAGCCCACCUAAGCACCCGGAGCAGUGGUCCUGAAGCCAUUGAUUGCUUCUUUUUAAAAACAAUUUUUUAAUGUUUAUUUAUUUUUGAGAGACAGAGCACAAGCAGGGGAGGGGCCGAGAGGAGAGACACACAGAAUCGGAAGCAGGCUCCAGGCUCUGAACUGUCAGCACAGUGACGACACGGGGCUCGAACUCCUGAACUGCGAGAUUGUGACCUGAGCCAAAGUCGGAUGUUUAACCAACUGAGCCGCCCAGGCGCCCCAUGGAUCUCACUUUUCAAAGCCUUCUUAUUCCGGGGUCCGUAGCCCGAAAAGGUAUCCCCGGAAGAAAAGGGAGGGGAUCCCGGUCCCUCGUUGCUGAGAAACUCGGAAACAGGUGUGGCUGGGGUCAGAGGCCUAAAUAUUAUCGCCAACUUCUUUCUCCUCAGCUCUCCUUUCUGUGUGGCCCGUAGCUUUCGUCUCCUUGUGUGGUCAUGUGACAGGUCUAGCGGCUCGGGAUACAGACACCGUGUGUUUCCACACAUGCCUGGGGGGGGGGGGGCAGAGGUCCGAGCAUCUCCAGCAAAAGCCCUACACUCCCUCUAACUGCCCUGGCUUGGGACACAUGACUUCCGGAGCCAGUCGCUGGCCAGGAAGGUAUCCUGUGCCCACCGACUUAGGCCUGUGGUGUAUACUCCACCCGCAAUUCUGAGGUUCUGGAAAUGAGAAGGCACCCAAGAUUAGGGGCUAUUGCUGGUAGAAGGGGGGACAGCUGUUGAGAUGAAUUUGUUCCACAUUUAUUGUGUGUGUGCCACACUCAUUCUUUCAGUGAGUUUCACAACACACCUGUCUAAGAUAUGAGGGGCCCCUCUUGUGGAAAAGGAAAAAAGUGGGGACGCCUGGGUGGCCCAGCCAGUUAAGCGUCCGACUUGGGCUCAGGCCAUGAUCUCAGAGCUCGUGAGUGUGAGCCCCGCGUCGGGCCCUGUGCUGACAGCUCAGAGCCUGGAGCCUGCUUCCGAUUCUGUGUCUCCCUCUCUCUCUGCCCCUCCCCCACUCUCUCUCUCUCUCUCUCUCUCUCUCUCUCUCUCUUAAAAAUAAACAUUAAAAAAAGAAAAAAAGAAAAAGAAAAGGAAAAAGGUUCAGAGAGGUUAAGGAUGUGCUUAAGGUCACACAGCAAAUUCCAAAGUUAUUUAUGCAAGCGCAGCCUGCUUUAGGUGGGGGGAGGGAGGCGACGAACUGGUUAAAAGUUAGCACCAGAGGAGAAAACACAGAGGCAAACGAAAAGAGCCAUUCCACAGAGAGUGGAAUUAGGCUCCGCACAGGGACUUUUGCUCAAACUCGAGGGACUAAGGCUCUCUCUCUCUUCUGGGACUAGUCAACAGAGGACAGAGGAGCCUGGAGUGACCAGAGGCCACCAGGGGAAGGGCACCCACGAGAGAGAAGGCAGCACGGAGGUGAGUGGUGCCAGGUCGAGGAGAAAGCUUCUUGGGAAUGUGGGUUGGGGUCCUGAGUGUUCAGUUACUGGAGUUACUAACACCCUCCCUCACUUGGCUCAGCUCCAGCUGGACUUCUGUCGUUUGCAAAUGAAGGGGCCCUGACUCAUCGAGACAGGAUGCUGUGGCGCUUCGACCUUCAACGGGCCCACCGUCAGCCACUUACGUGUGUCGUGCCCUGCCAUGCACUCCACGUACGUUUGGUCCUUACUGUGACCCGAGUGAGCUCUUAUUGCCACCUUUGUACAAACGGGGAAACUGAGGCUCGGAGAGGGCACCAUGGCCAGACCCAGCAGGGCGCUGGCGCUCCCUCCCUGAGUGCCCGGGCAACCCCUGUUCCCGAGUGCCUCCUCUGUGCCCACCAGGUCCCUCCUCGGGCCUCUGUCCACCUCUGGCCCCGAGCGGGGUGGGCCACUCAGAACCCGCCCGCCGCCCCCGCCCCCGGCCGGGCAUCUCCUGGGCCGGCGGGGACUCCAGGGCCGGGCCUGAGCACAGUCCUUCUUCUCAAGGACACAGGGCUUCGUAAGCCCAGCGGGCGGACGCUCGGGGCAUCUGUGGCGUCGUGGGGGCUCUGAGAAAGAUGGGGAAGGGGAGGCCUCUGGUCUCCUUCCCCCAGGGCCCCUCUUGCCUGGGCCCGGCGGGGGGGGGGGCCGCCCCCCUUCCCCUCCCCCCUGCACCUGCGCGGGCGGGCCCCUGAGCUUUCCUCACCUUCUCCCAUCUGGCUCCCACACUCGCCAAUUUCUUUCUGUUUCCGGACGCUCCCCAACACCCCGUGCCUCACACCCCAACCCUGAUCGCCUCCCUCUCCCGCCUGCCGCUUUCAGUUUUGCCUCAGCUCUGGGGCUCCUCUCUUGCCUCCUUUGGCUCUGUGUCUUUGGGGCACCCCUCCCCUCUCUCUCUCUCUCUCCACCUCUGUCUGCCUCAAUCUGUUUCUCCUCUGUCUUGGAAUCUCUAUCUCUCAUCCGUCUCUCUGUCUCUGUGCGGCUCUCUGUCUCCGAUAGUCUCUCUGUCUCUUUCCUCUCUGUGCCUCCGUCUGUCUCUCAUCUCUCUGUGGUUCUCUGUCUCUCUCUGUGAUCUCUCUCUUGUUCUCUGUCUCCCUCCUCCUCUCCCUGCCCCUCCCUCCCCACAUCCUGAGUUGUCUUUGGGGAACCGGAAAUUUGGGGGAUCAGAGAGAUACUGGGAGGCUCAGCUGCUGCCGCCUAGAGAUAAUGCGUGGGGGGGGGGCGCUGGGGCUGGAUGGGGGUGGGGGAGCCCAGAAUCCCCUGCGUCUUCCUCCUACCCUGGUGCACGCAGAGACAGGCAGAGGAAUUAUGUCCCCUCCCCGGGCCUCGGCUUCCCCUUCUGUGGAGUGGGUCCGAUGAACCACCUCCCUCGUGGGGUUGGUGCGAGCGAGAAGAGAAGUUAAUCGAGAAGUUAAUCGAACAGCCUGGCCAGAGCAGGGGCUCAGGGAGAUUGGGGAUGAGGGACAGAAGCGAGGGCAUGUGCAGGGGAGUCGGCGGGUGAGGCUGACUGGGACUGAGAGGGGCUGAGGGGAGCGUGGCUCCCAGGUGCUCCUGAGCCCGUCUUUUCCCCUCCCUGCACCUCAUUCGUCAUCCCCUCUGUACCACAGUGGGCUUCCGCGUUCAACACCUGCUUGGUGGCACUUUCUCUGCCACACGUCUUGUCUAUACUCCCUGCUUGAACCCUCACAACACCCCUGCGAGGUGGGUACUGUUAUUAUUUUCCAGGUGGGGAAACUGAGGCACAGAGAAGUUGAAUGGUCUGCCCAAGAUCACGCAGCUGGGAACCCUCCACGGGACAGGACUCUGAAUUAGGCCGGUCGUGGCCCAAGUCUGGGGGUGCCGUAUAUGCGCCCAUUUGAAACAGAGGCAGCGUUGGGGCGCCUGGGUGGCGCAGUUGGUUAAGCGUCCGACUUCAGCCAGGUCACGAUCUCGCGG
rnacentral:lncRNA from 1 species